GACAUAGGUGGCGAACGUUAUCCGGAAUUAUUGGGCGUAAAGAGUGCGUAGGUGGUUUAAUAAGUUAUUGGUGGGAAAUCGGGGGCUCAACCCCCGUGGAAGUCGGUAAUACUGUUAGACUAGAGGACCGGAGGGGUUAACGGAAUGGUUCAUGUAGGGGUAAAAUCCAUAGAUAUGAAUUAGAACACCAAUCGGCGAAGGCAGUUAACUAUUCGGUUCCGU
rnacentral:rRNA from 1 species